GGAUGAGCCCGCGGCCUAUCAGCUUGUUGGUGGGGUGAUGGCCUACCAAGGCGACGACGGGUAGCCGGCCUGAGAGGGCGACCGGCCACACUGGGACUGAGACACGGCCCAGACUCCUACGGGAGGCAGCAGUGGGGAAUAUUGCACAAUGGGCGAAAGCCUGAUGCAGCGACGCCGCGUGAGGGAUGACGGCCUUCGGGUUGUAAACCUCUUUCAGCAGGGAAGAAGCGAAAGUGACGGUACCUGCAGAAGAAGCGCCGGCUAACUACGUGCCAGCAGCCGCGGUAAUACGUAGGGCGCGAGCGUUGUCCGGAAUUAUUGGGCGUAAAGAGCUCGUAGGCGGCUUGUCGCGUCGGAUGUGAAAGCCCGGGGCUUAACCCCGGGUCUGCAUUCGAUACGGGCAGGCUAGAGUGUGGUAGGGGAGAUCGGAAUUCCUGGUGUAGCGGUGAAAUGCGCAGAUAUCAGGAGGAACACCGGUGGCGAAGGCGGAUCUCUGGGCCAUUACUGACGCUGAGGAGCGAAAGCGUGGGGAGCGAACAGGAUUAGAUACCCUGGUAGUCCACGCCGUAAACGUUGGGAACUAGGUGUUGGCGACAUUCCACGUCGUCGGUGCCGCAGCUAACGCAUUAAGUUCCCCGC
rnacentral:rRNA from 1 species